AUCGAUGAAGAACGCAGCGAAAUGCGAUAAGUAAUGUGAAUUGCAGAAUUCAGUGAAUCAUCGAAUCUUUGAACGCACAUUGCGCCCAUCAGUAUUCUGAUGGGCAUGCCUGUUCGAGCGUCAUUUCAACCCUUAAGCCUAGCUUAGUGUUGGGAAUCUACCCUGUAGCUACCCUGUAGCUACCCUGUAGUUCCUCAAAUUUACCGGCGGAGACGUGGUAUCCUCUGAGCGUAGUAGCUUCUAUUCUCGCUUUUGUAGGUGCCUCGGCCCUUGCCGUAAAACCCCCCAAUUUUUAAUGGUUGACCUCGGAUCAGGUAGGAAUACCCGCUGAACUUAAGCAUAUCAAUAAGCGGAGGAAAAGAAACCAACAGGGAUUGCCUUAGUAACGGCGAGUGAAGCGGCAACAGCUCAAAUUUGAAAUCUGGCCUUCGGGUCCGAGUUGUAAUUUGUAGAGGACGCUUUUGGUGCGACACCUCCCAAGUUCCCUGGAACGGGACGCCUUAGAGGGUGAGAGCCCCGUAGGGUUGGAUGUCAAGCCUCUGUAAAGCUCCUUCGACGAGUCGAGUAGUUUGGGAAUGCUGCUCUAAAUGGGAGGUAAAUUUCUCCUAAAGCUAAAUACUGGCCAGAGACCGAUAGCGCACAAGUAGAGUGAUCGAAAGAUGAAAAGCACUUUGAAAAGAGGGUUAAAUAGCACGUGAAAUUGUUAAAGGGGAAGCGUUUAUGACCAGACUUUUUCUAGGUGGAUCAUCCGGUGUUCUCACCGGUGCACUUCACCUAGUUCAGGCCAGCAUCGGUUUUCGAGGGGGGAUAAAAGCUUAGGGAAUGUAACUCCUCGGAGUAUUAUAGACCUUUGCAUAAUACCCCCUUGGGGACCGAGGUUCGCGCUCCGCAAGGAUGCUGGCAUAAUGGUCAUCAACGACCCGUCUUGAAACACGG
rnacentral:rRNA from 1 species